rnacentral:rRNA from 1 species
GAUGAACGCUAGCGGGAGGCUUAACACAUGCAAGUCGAGGGGUAGAGUAGUAAUACUUGAGACCGGCGGACGGGUGCGUAACGCGUAUGCAACUUACCUUAUACAGGGGGAUAGCCCGUGGAAACGCGGAUUAACACCCCAUAGGACAUUUUUGUCGCAUGGCGGGGAUGUUAAAUUUGAGGAGGUAUAAGAUAGGCAUGCGUCUGAUUAGCUAGUUGGUAAGGUAACGGCUUACCAAGGCGACGAUCAGUAGGGGUUCUGAGAGGAUAAUCCCCCACACUGGUACUGAGACACGGACCAGACUCCUACGGGUGGCAG